CUUUGUUGGAGGCAAGAAAGACCUGGAAUACUUCUAAUUGCCAAGCCAUUUCUAAAGGAACCACCCUACAACAUCAGCACUUUGGGAGACAGAGAUCUGAAACUUGAAGAUGGUGAAUUAAGAGCAAUCCAUAAAGUCCAAAAGAGGAAUGGAUGAAAGGCAACAGGAACAUGAUUGUGAUCAUCCUUCUUUAGCAGCUGUGGUCACUGGAAAAGUUUUCUGGUAAAAGCCCCACAUCCAGAGGCUUCUGUAGGAACAUUGACAAGUGGCCUUGAACAGUGGCAUGCCAAGAAGGAGAAACUGGGACUUCGCUGAAAACCAAGACCUGGAACCUCAAACACCCAUUGGGGCCAGAUGCUGUGACGACAAAGAUAGCAUGACAAUCUCAGAUGAGGACGAUG
rnacentral:lncRNA from 1 species